rnacentral:rRNA from 1 species
GAUGAACGCUGGCGGCAUGCCUAACACAUGCAAGUCGAUCGGUAAGGCUCUUCGGGCUUCACGUGAGGCGGACGGCUGAGUAACGCGGAGGAACACACCCUGCAGUCUGGUAUAUGACACCGAAUGGUGUUCUAAUACCUCAUACGGUCUUCGGAUUAAAGUAUUUAUGCGCUGAAGGAGUGUCCUGCGUCAUCUUAGAUAGUUGGUGAGGUAAUGGCUCACCAAGUCGAUGAUGUGUAGCUGGGCUGAGAGGAUGAUCAGCCAGACCGGAACUGAGACGCGGUCCAGAAUAUUACGGAAGGAAGGAGAGAAGAAUAUAGCAAAAUGACGGAAAGCAUGAAGGAGCAAGGCCGCGGACAGGAUGAAGGCGGUCGAGAAGAGCAGUGCUUUAAUAAGACAAGAUUAUGACGGUAACUAAUGAAUAAGGAACGGCUAACUACGUG